rnacentral:rRNA from 1 species
UACGUAGGGCGCAAGCGUUGUCCGGAUUUACUGGGCGUAAAGAGCGCGCAGGCGGCUGGCCAAGUCCGAUGUGAAAUCUCCCGGCUUAACCGGGAAACUGCAUCGGAAACUGGCCGGCUUGAAGGUGGGAGAGGGUAGCGGAAUUCCCGGUGUAGUGGUGAAAUGCGUAGAUAUCGGGAGGAACACCAGUGGCGAAGGCGGCUACCUGGCCCAUUCUUGACGCUGAGGCGCGAAAGCUAGGGGAGCGAACGGG